CUAAGUGGGCUUGACUGUGGGGAAAAAUCCACAGUUAAGCAUGCUUGAGCCAGAGGCGUAUUGGGAUGGGUGACCACCUGGGAAGGCCUGGUUACCGAGU
rnacentral:rRNA from 1 species